rnacentral:misc_RNA from 1 species
GAACUGCGAUACGUAAUGUGACUUGCAGAAUCUCGUGAAUCAUCAAAUCUUUGAACGCAAAUGGCGCGUCCGGGUAUUCCCGGGCGCACGCCUGUCUGAGUAUCAUUCUCCCUCUCUCGUCCGAUUUCGGGCGGUGGUGGUGGCCACACGCUGACGCGUGCGCCCGCUCAAACAUACACAACCGGGAUGACGAUCGGAACGGUCCACGCUGUAAGCUCACGCUCCUCGAGGACCCCCCCGACCCUAUCCAACCAACAACAUGAUCUCAGAUCAGGCGAGACGACCCGCUGAACUUAA